AACGAACGCUGGCGGCAGGCUUAACACAUGCAAGUCGAACGCCCCGCAAGGGGAGUGGCAGACGGGUGAGUAACGCGUGGGAAUGUGCCCCAAGGUACGGAACAACACCGGGAAACUGGUGCUAAUACCGUAUGUGACCGAGAGGUGAAAGAUUUAUCGCCUUGGGAUCAGCCCGCGUUAGAUUAGCUAGUUGGUGAGGUAAUGGCUCACCAAUGCUACGAUCUAUAGCUGGUCUGGGAGGGUGAGCAGCCACCAUGGGACUGAGACACGGCCCAGACGCCUGCGGGAGGAAGCGGUGGGGAAUCUUGGAAAAUGGGCGCAGGUCUGAUCCAGCCAUGCCGCGUGAAUGAUGAAGGCCUUAGGGUUGUAAAGUUCUUUCGUCGGGGACGAUAAGGACGGUACCCGAAGAAGAAGCCCCGGCUACUUCGUGCCAGCCGCCGCAGUAA
rnacentral:rRNA from 1 species